rnacentral:tRNA from 2 species
GGGAGCUUGGCUCAGUUGGAAGAGCGCAGGUCUCAUACUUGGCAGUAUGAUCUGAAUGUUUAACAUCAGAGUUAUCCUGAGGUCGUGAGUUCGAGCCUCACAGUUCCCA